GUCAAAGAUAUUAAGGCUUAUGGUGGAUACCUAGGCAUCCAAAGACGAUGAAGGGCGUGGAAACCAACGAAAUGCUUCGAGGAGCUGGAAACAAGCUAUGAUUCGGAGAUUCCCGAAUAGGGCAACCUCUUGUACUUCCUUUUAAAUUCAUAGAAAGGAAAGAGAACACCCGGUGAAUUGAAACAUCUUAGUAGCCGGAGGAAAAGAAAGCAAACGCGAUUUCCUUAGUAGCGGCGAGCGAAAAGGAAACAGCCUAAACUAGUUCGAAAUUUUCGAGUUAGGGUAGUGGGAAAGAAAAAAAUUAUAAAGUCACUUAACUAGAUGAAGCAGCUGAAUCCUGCACCAUAGACGGUGAAAGUCCGGUAAUCGAAAGUUGAGUACGCUUUUAAAAAUCUUUUCCCGAGUAGCAUGGGGCACGUGAAAUCCCGUGUGAAUCAGCGAGGACCACCUCGUAAGGCUAAAUACUUUUGGAUGACCGAUAGCGAAAUAGUACCGUGAGGGAAAGGUGAAAAAGAACCUCUGUAGAGGAGUGAAAUAGAACAUGAAACCAUAAGCUUUCAAGCAGUGGGAGGGUUUGAAAACCUGACCGCGUGCCUGUUGAAGAAUGAGCCGGCGACUUAUAAGGAGUGGCUUGGUUAAAGAGUAAAAUCUGAAGCCAGAGCGAAAGCAAGUCUUAAAAGGGCAUUUUAAGGUCACUUCUUAUGGACCCGAACCCGGGUGAUCUAACCAUGGCCAGGAUGAAGCUUGGGUAAAACCAAGUGGAAGUCCGAACCGACCGAUGUUGAAAAAUCGGCGGAUGAGCUGUGGUUAGGGGUGAAAUGCCAAUCGAACUCGGAGCUAGCUGGUUCUCCCCGAAAUGCGUUGAGGCGCAGCGGUUAAUGAUGGGCGGUCUAGGGGUAAAGCACUGUUUCGGUGCGGGCUGCGAGAGCGGUACCAAAUCGUAGCAAACUAAGAAUACUAGACAAGCUUUCCAUUAACCAGUGAGACGGUGGGGGAUAAGCUUCAUCGUCGAGAGGGAAACAGCCCAGAUCACCAGCUAAGGCCCCUAAAUGACCGCUAAGUGGUAAAGGAGGUGAGAAUGCUGAAACAACCAGGAGGUUUGCUUAGAAGCAGCCACCCUUUAAAGAGUGCGUAAUAGCUCACUGGUGGAGCGUUCUUGCGCCGAAAAUGAACGGGACUAAGCGGUCUGCCGAAGCUGUGGGAUUCCAGAAAAAUUAACUUAUUAUGUGCGAAGCACUUUUAAGUUGGACUGGAAUCGGUAGGGGAGCGUUCCGCUCUAGGGUGAAGCAUCGAUGUAAAUUGAUGUGGACAAAGCGGAAGUGAGAAUGUCGGCUUGAGUAACGAAAACAUUGGUGAGAAUCCAAUGCCCCGAAAACCUAAGGGUUCCUUUACUAGGUUCGUCCAUGAAGGGUUAGUCAGGACCUAAGGCCAGACCGAAAGGUGUAGUCGAUGGAGAACAGGUUAAUAUUCCUGUACUGAUUUUUGAAUUGUACCGAGGGACGAAGGAGGCAAUAACUAACUAAUAAUGGAUUUUAGUGGAAGCGUUCGAGGUGUUGAUGGGUAGAAGAAAAACUAACCUUGAGCUGAGACGCGAUACGGUUUUAUUCCCUAAGUAGCUUUUUGUUUCUGAUAAAAGGUUACUUAUAAUAAAACUUAGUUGAUUGUCAAACUUCCUAGAAAAGCUCGAACUACGUGUAUUCAAAAAUUACCUGUACCCGAAACCGACACAGGUAGGUGGGUAGAGUAUACCUAGGGGCGCGAGAUAACUCUCUCUAAGGAACUCGGCAAAAUGGCCCCGUAACUUCGGGAGAAGGGGUGCCCCCUUUAAUGGGGGCCGCAGUGACCAGGCCCAGGCGACUGUUUACCAAAAACACAGGUCUCCGCUAAGUCGUAAGACAAUAUAUGGGGGCUGACGCCUGCCCAGUGCCGGAAGGUGAAGGAAGUUGGUUAGUUGAAGCUCGACUUCAACGACGCUGACAACCGAAGCCCCGGUGAACGGCGGCCGUAACUAUGACGGUCCUAAGGUAGCGAAAUUCCUUGUCGGGUAAGUUCCGACCCGCACGAAAGGCGUAACGAUCUGGGCACUGUCUCGGAGAGAGGCUCGGUGAAAUAGACAUGUCCGUGAAGAUGCGGACUUCCUACACCUGGACAGAAAGACCCUAUGAAGCUUUACUGUAGCCUGAAAUUGGGUUUGGGCUCCUUUUGCGCAGUCUAGGUGGGAGGCGUUGAAAACCCCCUUCCGGGGAGGUUGGAGCCAUCAGUGAGAGACCACUCUGAAGGAGCUAGAAUUCUAAUGGCGAUCCUUGAAUCAGGACGCUUGACAGUUUCAGGUGGGCAGUUUGACUGGGGCGGUCAUCUCCUAAAAGGUAACGGAGAUGUGCAAAGGUUCCCUCAGGCUGGACGGAAAUCAGCCGAAGAGUGUAAAGGCAGAAGGGAGCUUGACUGCAAGACCUACAAGUCGAGCAGGGGCGAAAGCCGGCCUUAGUGAUCCGACGGUACCGAGUGGAAGGGCCGUCGCUCAACGGAUAAAAGUUACUCUAGGGAUAACAGGCUGAUCUUCCCCAAGAGUUCACAUCGACGGGAAGGUUUGGCACCUCGAUGUCGGCUCAUCGCAACCUGGGGCGGUAGUACGUCCCAAGGGUUGGGCUGUUCGCCCAUGAAAGCGGUACGUGAGCUGGGUUCAGAACGUCGUGAGACAGUUCGGUCCAUAUCCGGUGUAGGCGUUAGAGCAUUGAGAGGAGCCUUCCAUAGUACGAGAGGACCUGGAAGGACGCACCACUAGUAUACCAGUUCUCGUUCCAACGGGAAACGCUGGGUAGCCAAGUGCGGAGCGGAUAACUGCUGAAAGCAUCUAAGUAGGAAGCCCACCUCAAGAUGAGUGCUCUCCAGAGGUCACGGCAAGACAAGCCGUUUGAUAGGUAUCAAGUGUAAGGCCAGCAAUGGUUUUAGCUGAGAUGCACUAAUAGACCGAUAGAAUUUGAC
rnacentral:rRNA from 2 species